rnacentral:lncRNA from 1 species
CCAAACUUGCCUAGCUCUGGUUUUGUGUUGUAAACAUGAGUGUGUAUGUGUAUCUGCUUCCAAAACCAAAACGUUCCCAUCUCUUUUGCAACUCACAAGUAAUGAAUAUAAAUGGUUUUGUCAUUUCACCAACCUUCUGUUGUUGUUAUUGUUUUGUUUUUGAAGAAAUGAAGGAGGGAGAGAAAAAAGAAAGAAAGAAAAAAUUAAAAACUAUGUUCCCCAUCCUACAACUUCAGAUGUGAAUUUAAAACUUCAGUGUGAACAAAUCAGAAAAAAAAAAAUGAAGUGGGUUGUACUGUGAUGUACUAAUGGUUCUCAAAAGUCAGGAGCUGUGGGUUAGGAAGAAUGAGUUGGUCAGGAGUCCUGGCUUGGACCUGGAGGAUCUGUGUCACCUAACUGACAAGUUGUUGGUGGCUACUGGUACCUCUCCACGUGGGCAUCUGCACAAGCUGCUUCAUUGUCUCCAUAACAUGGCAGCUGGCUUCCUCCAGAGAAGUAAUCCUCAAGAGCAAGGUAGAAGUUUCAGCACCCUCCAUGAACUUCCCUUGGAAGUCAUGCAUCAUCAUUUUCACCAUAUUCUACUGGUCACAAACGCCAGCCCUGAAUCUGAAUGGGGGAUGGGGUAGCCAUAGUAUAAAGCUGGCCGCCUACUACCAUAAUAACAAAAAGAGGUAAAGGUGUGGCUCAGAAGAUAGCUGCUUAUCACUCUGAUGAUAAAGAGUGUUAAAAUAUGUAAUUCUUGUUUCAAAACUAUAUUAGUAUGGCCUGAGAAAUGUGUUAGACAAAUUUUGGCUGGCUGAGCACAGUGGCAUAUGCCUAAAUCCCAGUAACUCAGGAGGUUGAGGCAGGAGGAUCCCAAAUUCAAGGGCAACCAGAGCAAUUUAGUGAGACCCUUAGCAAUUUAGCAAGACCCUGUCUCAAAAUAAAAAAUAAAAAGGGUUGGGUAGGUAUAACUCAGUGGUAAAGCACCCUUCAUUCCUCAGUACUCACAAAAAAACAAAUGAUCAAACAAAAAAAGAAUGCAUUUGGUUGAACACUCAACUUAAAAUUGCUUAAACAGUAGUACUUAUUUCACUUAAGAGUCUUAGCUAGAGCUGGGGUUGUGGCUCAGUGGUAGGGCACUACCUAGCACUUGGGAAGCCCUGGGUUCAAUUUUAAAACAUUUUAUCAUCUCCAAAAGAUUCUUCAUAACCAUUUGCAGUAACUGCCCCUUCUUACUUCAAGUCAUCAGCUAACCCUUAUCUAUUUUCUG